GAGCGCCGUAGCAAUACGGAACGGCAGACGGGAGAGUAACACGUGGGAACGUACCCUUCGGUUCGGAAUAACUCAGGGAAACUUGAGCUAAUACCGGAUACGUCCGAAAGGAGAAAGAUUUAUCGCCGAGGGAUCGGCCCGCGUCCGAUUAGCUAGUUGGUGGGGUAAUGGCCCACCAAGGCGACGAUCGGUAGCUGGUCUGAGAGGAUGAUCAGCCUCACUGGGACUGAGACACGGCCCAGACUCCUACGGGAGGCAGCAGUGGGGAAUAUUGGACAAUGGGCGCAAGCCUGAUCCAGCCAUGCCGCGUGGGUGAUGAAGGCCUUAGGGUUGUAAAGCCCUUUCGGCGGGGAAGAUAAUGACGGUACCCGCAGAAGAAGCCCCGGCUAACUUCGUG
rnacentral:rRNA from 1 species